rnacentral:rRNA from 1 species
AUUGAACGCUGGCGGCAGGCCUAACACAUGCAAGUCGAACGAGUGGCGGACGGGUGAGUAAUAUAUGGGAACCUGUCUGGUGGAGGGGGAUAACUACUGGAAACGGUAGCUAAUACCGCAUACCAUCGGAUGUGCCCAGAUGGGAUUAGCUAGUAGGUGGGGUAAAGGCUCACCUAGGCGACGAUCCCUAGCUGGUCUGAGAGGAUGACCAGCCACACUGGAACUGAGACACGGUCCAGACUCCUACGGGAGGCAGCAGUGGGGAAUAUUGCACAAUGGGCGCAAGCCUGAUCCAGCCAUGCCGCGUGUAUGAAGAAGGCCUUCGGGUUGUAAAGUACUUUCAGCGGGGAGGCGGUACUCGCAGAAGAAGCACCGGCUAACUCCGUGCCAGCCGCCGCGGUAAUAC